CAUGGAGGGUGAGAAUCCCGUUCGGUUAACCAAAGCGCUUUACGAUACGCUUUCAAAGAGUCAAGUUGUUUGGGAUUGCAGCUUAAAAUGGGAGGUAAAUUUCUCCUAAGGCUAAAUAUUGGCGAGAGACCGAUAGCGAACAAGUACCGUGAGGGAAAGAUGAAAAGAACUUUGAAAAGAGAGUUAAACAGUACGUGAAAUUGUUGAAAGGGAAACGAUUAAAGUCAGUCGUACCUACGAGUAAUCAACCUACUCGAGUGCGAUUUUGUGGGUAUGUUAGAGUUUAAACCUUCAUGCUUACAAAUUGGUGCUCUUUGGGCGUACUUUCUCGUAUGGUAGGUUAACAUCAAUUUCGAUCGUUAUAAAAUGACUGGAGGAAUGUAGCUUCGAUCUCGGUUGAAGUGUUAUAGCCUUUGGUAGAUGUAAUGAUUGGGAUUGAGGAUUGCAACGGAUACCCUCUGGGCUAUUCGUCUGAUCUCUGGAAGUUACCUUGGUGUCGAAAGCGUGCUUACGAUAUUAAGGUUGACGGCCAAUAGGUUAGAACGUGAUUAAAUUCGUUAAGGAUGUUGACGUAUUGG
rnacentral:rRNA from 1 species